AAUUUUUUAGUCAAUUAUGAUUCA
rnacentral:tRNA from 1 species